rnacentral:rRNA from 1 species
CUACGGGUGGCUGCAGUUAAGAAUCUUCCGCAAUGGACGAAAGUCUGACGGAGCGACGCCGCGUGGGUGAAGAAGGCCGAGAGGUUGUAAAGCCCUUUUCUGCUUGAGGAAUAAGCCUGGUAGGGAAUGACCGGGUGAUGACGGUAGGGCAUGAAUAAGCCCCGGCUAAUUACGUGCCAGCGAGCCGCGGUAACACGUAUGGGGCGAGCGUUGUUCGGAAUCAUUGGGCGUAAAGGGCGUGUAGGCGGAAAUGCAAGUCUGGUGUGAAAGACCGCAGCUCAACUGCGGGGACGCGCUGGAAACUGCAUAUCUCGAGUUCCGGAGGGGGAGUUGGAAUUCCUGGUGUAGGGGUGAAAUCUGUUGAUAUCAGGAAGAACAUCGGUGGCGAAGGCGAACUCCUGGAAGAGAACUGACGCUGAGGCGCGAAAGCGUGGGGAGCGAACAGGAUUAGAUACCCGAGUAGUC